rnacentral:rRNA from 1 species
AUUGAACGCUGGCGGCAGGCUUAACACAUGCAAGUCGAGCGAGCGGCGGACGGGUGAGUAAGGUCUGGGAAACUGCCUGAUGGAGGGGGAUAACUACUGGAAACGGUAGCUAAUACCGCAUACCAUCGGAUGUGCCCAGAUGGGAUUAGCUAGUAGGGGGGGUAAAGGCUAACCUGGGCGACGAUCCCUAGCUGGUCUGAGAGAAUGACCAGCCAAACUGGAACUGAGACACGGUCAAGACCACUACGGGAGGCAGCAGUGGGGAAUAUUGCACAAUGGGCGAAAGCCUGAUGCAGCCAUGCCGCGGUUGUGAAGAAGGCCUUCGGGGUGUAAAGCACUUUCAGCGAGGAGGCGUUACUCGCAGAAGAAGCACCGGCUAACUCCGUGCCAGCCGCCGCGGUAAUUC